rnacentral:piRNA from 1 species
UAUUAUUCUUACCUGAUCAGCCUAAAC